rnacentral:rRNA from 1 species
UACGGAGGGAGCUAGCGUUGUUCGGAAUUACUGGGCGUAAAGCGCGCGUAGGCGGCUUUGUAAGUUGGAGGUGAAAGCCCGGAGCUCAACUCCGGAACUGCCUUUAAGACUGCAUCGCUUGAAUCCGGGAGAGGUGAGUGGAAUUCCGAGUGUAGAGGUGAAAUUCGUAGAUAUUCGGAAGAACACCAGUGGCGAAGGCGGCUCACUGGACCGGUAUUGACGCUGAGGUGCGAAAGCGUGGGGAGCGAACAGG